rnacentral:tRNA from 1 species
GGAGGGAUCGCAUAGUGGUCUAGUGCGCACGCUUGGAAAGCGUGUGUUGCCGCAAGGUGACCGGGGGUUCGAAUCCCCCUCCCUCCG